rnacentral:rRNA from 1 species
CACGUAGUUGGCCGGUGCUUCUUCUCCCGGUACCGUCACUUACGCUUCGUCCCGGGCGAAAGGGGUUUACAACCCGAAGGCCGUCAUCCCCCACGCGGCGUCGCUGCAUCAGGCUUGCGCCCAUUGUGCAAUAUUCCCCACUGCUGCCUCCCGUAGGAGUCUGGGCCGUGUCUCAGUCCCAGUGUGGCCGGUCACCCUCUCAGGCCGGCUACCCGUCGUCGCCUUGGUAGGCCAUCACCCCACCAACAAGCUGAUAGGCCGCGGGCUCAUCCCGUACCGCCGGAGCUUUCCACACACCACCAUGCGAUAGCGUGUCCUAUCCGGUAUUAGACCCAGUUUCCCGGGCUUAUCCCGGAGUACGGGGCAGAUUACCCACGUGUUACUCACCCGUUCGCCACUCAUCCACCCAGCAAGCUGGGCUUCAGCGUUCGACUUGCAUGUGUUAAGCACGCCGCCAGCGUCGUCCUCGUGCCACGGAGUCAACUAC